AUGGCUCCGGAUGCCCGUCUCAGUCUGGUCAACUCCGUGUUAUCCGCUAUCCCAAUUCAUUUGCUCAUGAUCUUCAAGCUAGACAGUUGGGCCAUCAAGCAGAUGGACAAGCUCAGGAGAAAUUUUCUUUGGCGAUCUAGGCCUAACAGCAGCAAGGGCCCGCCUCUAGUCAAUUGGAGCACCGUGUGCCGCCCCAGGCAUCUUGGUGAUCCGGGCAUCCUUGACAUCAGGAGGUUCAGCCGGGCCCUGCGCCUUCGCUGGAAAUGA
rnacentral:rRNA from 1 species